GACAGAGGCCUCAAGCGUUAGGCGGAAUCACUGGGCUUAAAGCGUGUGUAGGCGGACUUCUAAGUGCCUUGUGAAAUCCCACGGCUCAACCGUGGGAACUGCUGGGCAUACUGGGAGUCUUGGGCCAUUCAGGGGCAACUGGAACAAGCGGUGGAGCGGUGAAAUGCGUAGAUAUCGCUUGGAACGCCGAAGGUGAAAACAGGUUGCUGGGGAUGUGCCGACGGCUGAGACACGAAAGCCCAGGGGAGCAAACGGG
rnacentral:rRNA from 1 species